rnacentral:rRNA from 1 species
CCUACGGGGUGCUGCAGUGGGGAAUAUUGGACAAUGGGCGAAAGCCUGAUCCAGCCAUGCCGCGUGUGUGAAGAAGGCCUUCGGGUUGUAAAGCACUUUCAGUGGGGAAGAAAGCCUUGGGGCUAAUACCCUCGAGGAAGGACAUCACCCACAGAAGAAGCACCGGCUAACUCCGUGCCAGCAGCCGCGGUAAUACGGAGGGUGCGAGCGUUAAUCGGAAUUACUGGGCGUAAAGCGCGCGUAGGCGGUCUGAUAAGCCGGUUGUGAAAGCCCCGGGCUCAACCUGGGAACGGCAUCCGGAACUGUCGGGCUAGAGAGCAGGAGAGGAAGGUAGAAUUCCCGGUGUAGCGGUGAAAUGCGUAGAGAUCGGGAGGAAUACCAGUGGCGAAGGCGGCCUUCUGGACUGACACUGACGCUGAGGUGCGAAAGCGUGGGUAGCAAACAGGAUUAGAUACCCCGGUAGUC